GGCAAUUGCCAUUCCUCCACGCGUACAAAUGAAAUGGUGCGUUUCAUGUACACCAGUUCUCCCUCCCUUUCCUCUAUCAUAGACAGAGUAACAAUCUACCAAAUCGUGCCAAUGGCAGACUCUCUCGCUCUUGAUGUGACUCUCAUGGCAACCUCCACAAAACAAGUAGGUAAAAUUCGCCAAAUCGUGUGGCUCAACAAGUCAUGCUGCGGCAGAAGCACAUGAACCCUCGGCGCCAGACCAAUUCAUGUCCCUCUUCCUAUUCUAAUUCCGGUCUAGUGAAGAAAGCCGAGGAAGAGUUUGGAUUUUAGAGAACCGGUGGUUUGGUUUUGCCCUGCGAGGUUGGGUUUUUUCGAAAAAAUGUUGAAACUUUUGGAGAUCGAUGAGAAUGGAUUCCGUGGGCUUGGUUUGGAUGAUUUCUUGAAGCUGGUUUUGGAAAUAGGUUCUGAAUCUUGCAAUGAAGCAACAUCAAGUUCAUUUCACAUGGCCACUCCCUUGCUACAAAAAGCAAGGGUCUAACACUGCUUGUUUCUUAAUUGCUUGCUUUUAUUUUUUUUUUCUUUUUAUUUUUCUCUUGUUAUUAAAUUAUAUAUGAUGGUAGAGAAUUUGAUGCUCUCCUGUUACUUUUGGAGGUUAUUGUUUGGAGCCAUCCUUGAGUCCAUCGUUUAGUUUUAAUGUGAUAUCUCGUUUUUACGUGUAUUUUCACUGAAAGAAUAUUUUACUUUAAUUAAAUAUUAGUUCUUUUAUUUUAA